rnacentral:rRNA from 1 species
GCCCCACGGGGCGCAGCAGUCGGGAAUAUUGCGCAAUGGAGGAAACUCUGACGCAGUGACGCCGCGUAUAGGAAGAAGGUCUUCGGAUUGUAAACUAUUGUCGUUAGGGAAGAUAAAAGACAGUACCUAAGGAGGAAGCUCCGGCUAACUACGUGCCAGCAGCCGCGGUAAUACGGAGGAUGCGAGCGUUAUCCGGAUUUAUUGGGUUUAAAGGGUGCGCAGGCGGCCUGUUAAGUCAGCGGUAAAAGCCCGGGGCUCAACCCCGGCGAGCCGUUGAAACUGGCGGGCUGGAGUUGGAGAGAAGG